UGGGAGCAAGAGCCCCGGAGAUGGAUUCUGAGACAUGAAUCCAGGCCCUACGGGGCGCAGCAGGCGCGAAAACUUUACAAUGCGGGAAACCGUGAUAAGGGAACCCCGAGUGCCCGUAGAAUCGGGCUGUUGAUCUGUGUAAAAAGCAGGUAAAGAAAGGGCCGGGCAAGACCGGUGCCAGCCGCCGCGGUAAUACCGGCGGCUCGAGUGGUGGCCACUAUUACUGGGCUUAAAGCGUUCGUAGCUGGGUUGUUAAGUCUCUUGGGAAAUCCACCGGCUCAACCGAUGGGCGACCAGGGGAAACUGGCAUUCUAGGGACCGGGAGAGGUGAGAGGUACUCCAGGGGUAGGAGUGAAAUCCUGUAAUCCUUGGGGGACCACCGAUGGCGAAGGCAUCUCACCAGAACGGCUCCGACAGUGAGGAACGAAAGCUGGGGGAGCAAACCGGAUUAGAUACCCGGGUAGUCCCAGCUGUAAACUAUGGC
rnacentral:rRNA from 1 species